AAUGAACGCUGGCGGCAGGCUUAACACAUGCAAUUCGAGCGAGCGGCGGACGGGUGAGUAAUGUCUGGGAAACUGCCUGAUGGAGGGGGAUAACUCCUGGAAACGGUAGCUAAUCCCGCAUACCAACAUGUGUGCCCAGAUGGGAUUAGCUAGUAGGUGGGGUAAUGGCUCACCUAGGAGACGAUCCCUAGCGGGUCUGAGAGGAUGAGCAGCCACACUGGAAAUGAGACACGGUCCAGACUCCUACGGGAGGCAGCAGUGGGGAAUAUUGCGCAAUGGGCGCAAGCCGGAUGCAGCCAUGCCGGGUGUGUGAAGAAGGCCUUCGGGUUGUAAAGCACUUUCAGCGAGGAGGCGUUACCUGCAGAAGAAGCACCGGCUAACUCCGUGCCAGCAGCCGCGGUAAUAC
rnacentral:rRNA from 1 species